AUGGCCUUUGGUUUUCUCUCCUGGGGCACUUUCUGGCCGAGGGUGCAAGGUGCUCACCGGCAGCUGCCCGGCCCCUCCUUCCUGUAACCCGAGGGUGUCUCUGUUCAAGUCACAAACCAGCCCUCCCUGCCUGCCCUCCCACAUGACUGGAUGACGUCCCCGGAGCAACACCCUCCGAGGAAGACUGCCAGGGUUGUGCCCCAGGAGGAACUGACAAGUGGCAAGCAACCGGCAGAGGACGGACGGACGGACGGGCAGACUGAGGAAGAGAGGAGGAGAGAGAGAGAGAAAGAGAGAGGGAGACUGGUACCCACCCCCCACCCCUCCGGGAAGGAUGGUCUGAGUUAUCAUCAACGGUAAACCAAGCUGUACCUCCAGAUUCAGACAAUGUGGGGCUCCGGUGGGAAUUUCCAGGCACUACGGGUGAAGAUUAGGGCACACCAAAGGGGUGCUUCUGCUGCUAGCUUUUGGACUUCUUCUGCCAGACCCUACUUUGUCCUUAGCUCCCCCACACACCUUCCAAAUCUCACAUUUUCCUAGGGGGGGAAACAACCUAAAAGAAAGUGGUGUUUUCUUCUCUCAUUUUAUUCGUGUGGAAGAAGGGUGGGAGGAAGGCGGGGAGAGGUUCCAGGUGAUUCAUUCCCCUGUUGCAAGAUCAUUACUCAGCAGGUCUCUUUCCAUCCUAACUCUUUUUUUAAAGAAAAAUGUACUUCUAUUGUCCACCCAGUGUUGCUUAGAAACAUGCUAUGAUGUCAGUGUAAUUGCCCCUUGGGUUUUGAAGCCAGGAAAUAGUCAAGUAUUCCCUGUGGUCACUGUGGGCUCCUGUAACCUGCCUGCAGCUAUGUGGUGGCAAGAAUCAGGAGCUGCUGCAGCUGUUGUGGUGAAGACGGCGAAGCGGAGCGGCGCGACGCAUCGGUCCCACCGAAAGAUAAAGGUGAGAUGGGUCAGGCCGUCUCCGUAGAACAUCGGGUGGAGGACCCCGUUGGGUUGGAGGCUGGUCUGUGACCCGGUGGAUAGGAAAAGGGUGUGGAGGUCCCAUGUGGGUUCCUCAAGCAGAACAAGACCUGUGGAAGCCUACAGAACAGAGGGGCUGUCGGUGUAGCUGUUGCUCCGGUGGAUAGUAAAUGGUCAUGAGUUCUACAGCAAAGUUAAGGAGCUGUAGAGAUACAGCAAGAGAGGAGGAGAGGAACCAGACCAGAAUUAAUGCGCAGCACCUACGGUCACCCUCCGCUUCCCUUCCACCAGGCCCUCUUCCCUACCGGUGCUGGUGAGCAUCAUCCACCACUGGCACAAUCAACAAUCAUUCUCUUGCAACCCCCUGUUGUCAACGGCCGGGCGCCAUCAGGAACUUCACUACUGAGGCAGGAAGAAAAGAGCUUACCACAUCCUCCUUUGGGGAGGGAAAGAAAGCCACAGCCACUGGGUUGAUCUGGGAGUAAACAAGAAGUAGGACAACUUCUUUCAGGCCUGGGAGAGGCAAGGGUGGUAGUGGCAGAGGAUGGGCAGAGACAGAAGCUGCUUCCUCCUCCCCUCUUUUAUAGAAAUGCCACAAAAGACAGAAGCAAUUGGACACACCUAGAGUCAACCAAAGAGUUGACUCAACAAAUCCACACUGAUUCGAUGUGCCUACUCUUGCUGUGAUUUACUAGCCGCUGACGCUUUCUGCUGCAACCCACCCUUGGGUGGGCAACCUCUUCCCAGGUGGGUAAGAGAGGAGAGGAGAAGGGAAGAGGAGAAAGGACAGAAGUGGAGAUGACCUGGUUGGAAGAGGCCAAAGGGGAGGUGGGGAACAGAGGAACCUGGGGAAAGGGGAGAUUGGUGGCCGGCUCUGCCAUUAGGCAGGAGGAGAAAGCGAACUCAGGGAGCAGAGUCUCAACGGUGCAUCUUCCCAUAUGACCCAACUGAAGCCUACACGUGACGGAUCCCAAGAGCUUCCUUGAUGCAGCUGGAGGUGGAAGAAU
rnacentral:lncRNA from 1 species